rnacentral:lncRNA from 1 species
CCUUCGCCAACCCCAGGCUGCCACGUGGCGAUUUGAACGCUGUGAAAGAGUCCCUGGGGUUUUUGGAGAGCAAACAAGAACACACCGGAGCAUCGCAGCGCUCGCAAGAUCUUCAUUCUCUCUCUCGAUUCAUCGUCCUGCAGGGUGAGUGGUAAAUUCUUGGACUGAAAUCUCGGGGAUUUUGGCGCUGGAAGCAGGCAUGGUGCCAAGAAUCGUCGCCUAGGGAUCCAUCGCGCCGCGCCAUCGACCGAUCCCCUCCAUCCCCAUGGACUGGAAAGAUCCGCGGCUCACCGAGCAGAUAUUGCAGUACACGCUCAUCUCCUCGGCGCUCAUCGCGAUCGCCGCGGGCUACCUCACCGCCUCGCUCAAGACGAUGUUCCUCGUCUAUGGCGGCUGCGUGUUCGUGACGCUGCUCGUCAUCGUCCCCGACUGGCCCUACUUCUGCCGCCAUCCCCGCGAGUGGAUGACUCCAAAGAGGGCCGACGCUCCGUUCCACCACCAGCAGCAGCGAUCAUCGCCGGGCCUGGAAUCCAUCCGAGAAUCGGCGCUGGAUGCCAGCAAGAGAGAUUGAUUGAUCGACGCUUUCCUCCUCUCCUCUCCUCUCUCUCUCUCUCUCUCUCUCUCUCAGAGCUUUCUAAUCCGAUCCUGGCAAGAAUAAUCACCAAGAAGGAUUCGAUUUCUCUUCGUCUUCUCGGGGAUUUCUCCUCCCCCCUCCUCCCAGCGCUCCAGAUUCAUUGAUUUCUUCGCCCCAGUACCAGCGCAUCGUUGUUCUCUUUUAAUGCUUGGCAGCCUUUCGCUCUGGUGGCCACUACCUGACAUAAAUUCAAUGGAACCUUUUUUUAUUUUUCUUUGUGAACGUUAGAACCCUAGAAAUGCGAAAGAGGAAGAACCCUAAAUUUCGUUGGCUAUGGCGGAGGAGGAAGAAGGCGCGGGCUUCCACCUAGGGCAGCGCGUCCGGAGCGCGAGAGAGGCGCAGCAGCUCGGCACGGUGAGGUAUGUCGGGCCAGUGGAGGGCUACGACGGGGUCUGGAUUGGAGUGGAUUGGGACAGCGGACAAUCUCGCCACGACGGCUCCGUCAAAGGCGUUCGCUACUUCACCGCCAGCGGCGAGAAGUCGGGAUCGCUCGUGAGGCCUUCGAAUCUCAGCGCUGGGUGGAGUUUGCUCGAAGCUCUUGUCUCUAGGUACAAGAUCAGCAUGAGCAAAGACGAUGCAG